UGUUUUUGUUUGUUUUGUUUUGUUUAUUUAAAAAGGCAGAAUAGCACUACUGUGACCACAGCUUUAUCGAUGCCAUGCCUCAUUUCAAUUUUCUCUCAAACAGGUUGCUCAGUUCUAGAUUCCUUCAUGUGCAAGCAGGUCCUGGUGGAUGAAGACCUCAUCUGUGCUGCAGUCAAU